AUGUUGGAGGGGAAAGUGACCCCCAGUAGUUGUUUUGAUAAAGCACGCAAGGACGCUGUUAUGGAGGACCAGGAAAAACUCUCAGCCACUAACAUAAACCAAACUACUCAUUCUGUUGAAAUGCGAAGUCCCAGACAUGGAUGUGAUAAUGUGAUAGGAACAGGACUUGGCUUAUCUGGGAGACAAAAACUUGAAGGGGAUGAACAAGGACAGGGGAGGAUUGAAAAGAAUCCAACUCCCUUAAACUCCCCAAAUCAAAUUGCCAAGUCCCAUCAACACUUAGUCCAUACUUCUCCACAGAAAGUCUCAUGUCCAGCAGUUCUACCACAGACUUCUUCACCCCCCAACCCCAUAUACCAAACACAAGACAAUAACUUUGAUAUUGCACUCAAUCACCAAGAACACCAGCACCUUUUUGUAAAACAGCCGUCACUGGGAAGAGUCCUUUCAUCUCCUCAGAACUUGCAGCCACAUCUGAGUCCACAGCCUGAUCCCUUCCCUCACAGGUCCCCUCAAAGGCCAAUGGCACAGAACAGCCUCCUACCCAGGAGUGCCACACCCUCGUCCCAGCCAGGCACAGUGGGGCAAGGAACACAGAGGAUUACUGAGCACAGCACUAGACCAGACACAGAGCAAGAUGUGAAAUCUUCCCCUGUAAAUGGUCAGAAUAAGCACCAGGCCUUUAGCCCCAACAGCCAUCAGGUGCAAUCCAUGGGAGCUAACUGUGUUCCUAGGGGUCCAUCAUUUAGUCCACAUAUGCCAAUAACCUCUCAUUCUCAAGGCCACAUGAAUGGAACCAUGGGUCAAUAUAACACGGGCAACCCUCCAUUUAACCCAGCAAAUCGACCUCAACCGCCUUACCAGAGUCAGCCAUACAACCCUCUCCACACCAGCUACGCCCAGCAGAACACCACUUACCCCUAUCACAUGGCUUCUGGCCAACUACACCCACACCCGACUGCGUAUGGUCCGCAGUACAAUUACCCUGCACAGAGUCAGGCCAAUGGCAGAGGUGGCUAUCCUCCAGAGGACUGGAAUCAACCACCCUACCUGCCUCACCAACCAAUGGUUACUAAUGCUUACCUUCCCGGAACCAGUGCCAAAGGCAGUAUUCAGGCUAAGGAGAGCAGUAUGUCCCCAAUGGGCUCUGAGGGCUCUAGUGGAGCUGGCUUAAUGUCCCCUUGCUCUAUUGGUGAAGGGCUAGAGGAGCGAUCCAGAGCAAAUGGCAGCAGAGGCAGUGUAGCUGAGCCGACACACUCGGACGAGAAAUCUGACGGGCCCGAAAGCCCAAAAGAAUCCUGGAUCUGGACAGUCACAAUGCAACUUCCCAUUGUGCUCCUCCAUUUCCUCCACAUCACCCAUCUGCAGCACACAAGGGGCCCGGAUUCAUGUACAACCUUCAUUCCAUGCACUCAGCAUUACAGCACAAUAGGGCCCCUCCACAUCACAUGA
rnacentral:lncRNA from 1 species